ensembl:lncRNA
GGGGAUUAGGGGAUUUGGGUUUGGGUUAGGAUUAGGGUCAGGGAUCAGGGUUAGGGAUUAUAUAGGGAUUAUAUAGGGAUUAUAUAUGGAUUAGGGGAUUCAGGUUUCUAUAGGGAUUAGGGCAUUCGGGUUUGGGUUAGGGAUUAAGGUUAAGGGUUGGGGUUAGAGUAUAGGAUUUGGGCGUGGGGUUUGGGUUAGGGUUAGGGUUUGGAUGUGGGGUUAGGGUUAUGAGAUGGGAUUAGGGUUAGGGUUUAGGAUUGGGGUCAGAGUAUUAGGGUUUGGAUUAGGGUUAGGGGUUGGGGUUAGGGCUCAAGGUUAGGGGUCAUGGUUAGGGGGCAGGUGUAGGGUUUGGGGUUAGGGCUCAAGGUUAGGGUUAGGGUCAGGGUUAGGGGCAGAGUUUGGGCUCAAGGUUAGGGGGCAGGGUUAGGGUUAGGCUCAGGGUUAGGGAUUGGGGUUAGGGGGCAGGGUUAGGGGUCAGGGUUUGGGGUCAUGGUUAGGGUUUGGGGUCACGGUUACGGUUGGGGGGCGGUUGUAGGGUU